CACCACAGGCAGCACAGGUACCACAGGCAGCACAGGCAGCACAGGCAGCACAGGCAGCACAGGUACCACAGGUACCACAGGCAGCACAGGUACCACAGGUACCACAGGCAGCACAGGCAGCACAGGCAGCACAGGUACCACAGGCAGCACAGGCAGCACAGGUACCACAAGUACCACAGGUACCACAGGCACCACAGGUACCACAGGUACCACAGGCAGCACAGGCACCACAGGCAGCACAGGCAGCACAGGCAGCACAGGUACCACAAGUACCACAGGCACCACAGGUACCACAGGUACCACAGGCAGCACAGGCAGCACAGGUACCACAGGCAGCACAGGUACCACAGGCAGCACAGGCAGCACAGGCAGCACAGGUACCACAGGCAGCACAGGCAGCACAGGCAGCACAGGUACCACAAGUACCACAGGUACCACAGGCACCACAGGUACCACAGGUACCACAGGCAGCACAGGCAGCACAGGCAGCACAGGCAGCACAGGUACCACAGGUACCACAGGCAGCACAGGUACCACAGGCAGCACAGGCAGCACAGGCACCACAGGCAGCACAGGCACCACAGGUACCACAGGUACCACAGGCAGCACAGGCAGCACAGGUACCACAGGCAGCACAGGUACCACAGGUACUACAGGCAGCACAGGCAGCACAGGCACCACAGGCACCACAGGCACCACAGGUACCACAGGUACCACAGG